CCUCUGCUGGUGUUUUGUGAGUGAGCCUAGGAUAGGGCUCUGGGGGAUGUCCUGAACAUUUUUACCUGUGGUAUUUGAAGGCCACUGCUUGUUGGGCAGAUCAGAAUUGAGACCUGGCAUCAGCUGUUUUCUGUAAGAAGCCAUAUGUGGCAGCAAGCAGAGAGGCGUAAUCCCUGUCUCUGUUGGCAAAGUCGACAUCAGGGAGAGAUAAGGACAUCUGGGGCUCUUCAACAGAAUCUUUGCUUGGAUUUUCUUUUUGC